rnacentral:rRNA from 1 species
GACGUAGGGGGCGAGCGUUAUCCGGAGUUACUGGGCGUAAAGCGCCCGUAGGCGGUGGUGCGCGUUUUGCCUGACAGCUGCCAGCUUACCUGGCAGAGGGGGCGAAAGACGGUGGCACUUGAGCCGCAGAGAGGGACCUGGAAUUCCGCGUGUAGCAGUGAAAUGCGUAGAGAUGCGGAGGAACACCGAUGGCGAAGGCAGCCCCCUGGGCCAACACUGACGCUCAGGCACGAAAGCGUGGGGAGCAAACAGG